rnacentral:lncRNA from 1 species
AGGUGCCAAUGCUACACUUCCUUAGCUAGGAGCUAGCAAUGCUACGUGGAAUUGCAUGUCGGUAUCUUCUGAGAGGUUGUUCUCUCUCCACUUCUCAUUCAAGUCUGAAGAUGCUUACAGUCACCUGCAGUACUUCUAAAUCAGAGUUUUGAGAUGGAAGAGGUCACAGCUCCAAUGAUCUCAGCCGAAGAAGAUGAGGAAGAAGACCAGCACAAGUGGUAAGAAUCAGAGUCUCUCUCAAAUCAGCUUUUGCUGGUAUCAGGAUUUCUCUGGAGGACUCAACAAAGUCCUCUCCAUGCCUGAGAUUCCUACAAUGAUUGAAAUUCCAUUGUUUCUUCCCCGUGGGUUCUUGCCUCGAGUUCCUGCUCUGCCUUCAUUUCACUAUACCUAGAAGCUGAAAUAAACUAUUUCCUCCACAA